rnacentral:rRNA from 1 species
AUACGGAGAGUGCGAGCGUUACUCGGAAUCACUGGGCAUAAAGCGCGCGUAGGCGGUUUGCUAAGUUGGAUGUGAAAUCCUCUGGCUCAACCAGAGAACUGCAUCCAAAACUGGCAAACUAGAGUACCGGAGAGGAAGGCGGAAUUCCCAGUGUAGGGGUGAAAUCCGUAGAUAUUGGGAAGAACACCAGUGGCGAAGGCGGCCUUCUGGACGGAUACUGACGCUGAGGCGCGAAAGCGUGGGGAGCAAACAGGAUUAGAAACCCUAGUAGUCC